CCAGUGUCAUCCGAACAGGCAGCAUUCUGAUGGUUCUCUGUGAUGUCUAUGAUCCAGUGAUAAGACCUAGAAUAAAUGGAUAAAACCUAUAACAAAUAGAAUAAUGUUCCUCAAAUAAUGCCCCGUAACUUUAUUUCAGCUAUACUUGUUACAAGUUCUAGAGGGAAAAAUUCAAUAUUAUAUUCUGUAGGUAAAACUUCUUCACGUGCCUGUUUCAUUUCAACCCACUUGAUACAGUCUGGUGUCUGCCCCCCCCACUCUGAUGGAUCUGUUCUGGAAAAAUUUAGCGGUAACCUAAAUAUUUUCAAACCCAAUGAGUAUUUUUCAGUUCAUACUUUACCAAACUCUUUGUUGCAUUUGACAGUAUGACUGCCCCCUCCCUAAUAGGCACCUCUGAUAAUGUCUGUGGUAUCACUCACAUGAUUCUCUUUGUAGCUCUGUAAUCAUGUCUUUUUUUUUUUUUUUUAAUUGAGAUGAGGUCUCACUGUGUUGCCCAGGCUGGUCUCGAACUCCUGGAUUCAAGUGAUCCUCCCACCUUGGCCUCCCAAAGUGCUGUGAUUACAGGUGUGAGCUGCCACACCCAGCCUGUAAUCAUGUCUUCUUUAUAUCUUUUAUACAAUCUUCUGUUUUGUUUCAUGAACAUUGCUAUUCCAUUGUUAGCCCAUUAUUCUUUCUGAUUUUUUUUCAUACCGUUUGUGGUUUUAACUUGUGAGUCUUUAUGCUCUGAGAUAUUUCUGCCUCUGAGAACUUCAGCUUGAAAUUCUUGCUGAACAAAAGGAUGUCCAGAAGGCAUAUGGAGUCCUCAUAUCCAACAUGGAAAUAAUAUUUACAACUUGCUCAAUGUGCUGCUGCUGCUGCUUUUUUCCCUAUCCCUAUCAGUGCUGCUUCCAUCUGACCAGUGAGGCAAGCCAGAAAAUGAAGUCCAUCUUUUUUUUCUUUUUGAAAUGGGCUCUCGCUCUAUCACCCAGGCUGGAGUGCAGUGGCACGAUCUCGGCUCACUGCAAACUCUGCCUCCCGAGUUCACACCAUUCUCCUGCCUCAGCCUCCCAAGUAGCUGGGACUACAAGCACCCGCCACCACGCCUGGCUAAUUUUUUGUAUUUUUUAGUAGAGAUGGGGUUUCGCUGUGUUAGCCAGGAUGGUCUCAAUCUCCUGACCUCGUGAUCCUCCUGCCUCGGCCUCACAAAGGGCUGGGAUUACAGACGUGAGCCACCGCGCCCGGCCUGAAGUCCAUCUUAAUUCUCCUUUUCCUCACGUCUUGCUAUACCUGUUUGUCGAGCUUGCUAAUGUUGUCGCAUAAACAUUUCUUGAAUUUGUCCUUUCACUUCCAUCUCCUCUUCUCCUGCCUCAGUUUCUCGUGGGUUGUCAUAAUAUUAAUAGCUUUCUUAGCAGUCUGCUUGGCCCCUUCCUCUUCCCACCUUAAGGCUGUUCUUCACACUGACCAAUUCCUCCAAAAUGCCAACAUGAUCAUGUCUUAAUACAGAAAUGACUUAAGAGGUUCUAUGCCACUUACAGAAUACAAGUUCAGCAUCCUUGGUAUGACCUGUAAGGCUAUUUAUGUCAUGACUAUUUCCUGCCUGUUCUUAGUUCCUACCACUCUGGACCUUUCAUUCAACAACUGUAUAUUGAUCAAACAAUUGUGUGUCAUAUGCUAUGCUAGAUGGUCUACAUUCAGCUUGAAUGAAGGAGAUACUGUCUCUGUCCUCAUGGAGCUCACGUGCUAGUGAAAGAGAAAGAUAUUACACAAGCAGUUCAAACUGUGCUGAGGUGGUUCUCAACUCUGCCAGACCCACAUCUAUUUACAGAACAUACUUUCUUAUGAGCUAUAUUGGGAUGCAAACCUUCCAUAUUCAGCCAUCUCCUUUAUCUCUCUUAGUUAAUGCCACCCACCCACACUAGGCUGCCUCCUCUUUUAGACUUGGAUGAAACCACACACCAUAAGGUGUGAUACCAGCUUCCUGAGGGGCCAGAUGGUGGAGACAGAUGAUGCAACCUGGAAGUGUGGGCAAGUUAACUCACCGUGGGUGAACCUUGAAUGAAGGGAAAUUGAAAAUGAGAAGGAGAGACCAGUUUCAUUCCAGGACCUGACUGUGAACUUCACCCAAGAGGAAUGGCAGCAACUGGACCCUGCUCAGAGGCUCCUGUACAGGGAUGUGAUGCUGGAGAACUACAGUAACUUGGUCUCCGUGGGGUAUCAUGUUAGCAAACCAGAUGUGAUUUUCAAAUUGGAGCAAGGAGAAGCGCCGUGGAUAGUGGAGGAAUUCUCAAAUCAGAACUACCCAGAAGUUGAUGAUGCCUUAGAGAAGAACAAGGAAAUCCAAGAUAAACAUUUGACACAAACUGUAUUCUUCAGCAACAAAACACUGAUUACAGAAAGAGAGAAUGUAUUUGGGAAAACACUUAAUCUGGACAUGAAUAGUGUUCCCUCGAGAAAAAUGCCCUAUAAAUGUAAUCCAGGAGGAAACAGUUUGAAAACUAAUUCAGAAGUAAUUGUUGCAAAGAAAAGCAAAGAAAACAGAAAGAUUCCUGAUGAAUACAGUGGAUUUGGGACGCAUGAAAAAAGUCAUUCGGGAAUGAAAAAAUACAGAUGCAAUCCAAUGAGGAAAGCCAGCAAUCAAAACGAAAAUCUUAUUCUGCACCAGAACAUUCAGAUUUUGAAACAACCUUUUGACUAUAAUAAAUGUAGGAAAACCUUCUUCAAGAGGGCAAUUCUCGUUACACAAAAGGGGAGACAGACUGAAAGGAAACCAAAUGAAUGUAAUGAAUGUAGGAAAACCUUUUCUAAGAGAUCUACCCUCGUUGUACAUCAGAGAAUUCAUACAGGGGAGAAACCAUAUGUUUGUAAUGAUUGUAGGAAAACUUUUCGUGUGAAGACAAGCCUCACUCGACACCAAAGAAUUCAUACUGGAGAGAGACCCUAUGAAUGCAGUGAAUGCGGGAAAACCUUCAUUGACAAAUCUGCCCUCAUUGUACACCAGAAAAUUCAUGGAGGAGAGAAAUCCUAUGAGUGUAAUGAAUGUGGAAAGACCUUUUUUCGGAAGUCAGCCCUGGCUGAACACUUCAGGUCACACACAGGGGAGAAGCCUUAUGAAUGCAAGGAAUGUGGAAAUGCCUUCAGCAAGAAAUCGUAUCUUGUUGUACAUCAAAGAACUCACAGAGGAGAGAAGCCAAAUGAAUGUAAGGAAUGUGGGAAAACCUUCUUCUGUCAGUCGGCCCUUACUGCGCAUCAGAGAAUUCACACAGGGGAAAAACCCUAUGAAUGUAGUGAAUGUGAGAAAACCUUCUUUUGUCAAUCUGCCCUCAAUGUGCAUCGAAGAAGUCAUACAGGAGAGAAGCCCUAUGAAUGCAGUCAAUGUGGAAAAUUUUUAUGUACAAAAUCAGCCCUCAUUGCACAUCAGAUAACUCAUAGAGGAAAGAAGUCUUAUGAAUGUAAUGAAUGUGGGAAAUUUUUCUGCCAUAAGUCAACACUCACUAUACAUCAGAGAACACACACGGGAGAGAAACAUGAUGUGUUUAAUAAAUGUGGUAGAAUAUCCGUCAUGAAGUCAAACUGCAGUCAGUGUAAGAGAAUGAACACAAAGGAGAAUCUUUAUGAGUGUAGUGAACAUGGGCAUGCCAUCAGCAAAAACUCACACCUCGUUGUACAUCAGAGAACUAUAUGGGAGAGACCAUAUGAAUGCAAUGAAUGUGGGAGAACCUACUGUAGGAAGUCAGCCCUGACUCACCAUCAGAGAACACACACAGGAGAGAGACCCUAUGAGUGUAAUGAAUGUGGGAAAACCUUCUGUCAGAAGUUCUCCUUUGUUGAACAUCAGCGAACUCACACUGGGGAGAAACCAUAUGAAUGUAAUGAAUGUGGGAAAUCCUUCUGCCAUAAGUCAGCCUUCAGAGUCCAUAGAAGAAUUCACACAGGAGAGAAACCAUAUGAAUGUAACCAAUGUGGGAAAACCUACCGUCGCCUGUGGACUCUCACUGAACAUCAGAAAAUACACACAGGAGAGAAACCUUAUGAAUGUAACAAAUGUGAGAAAACAUUUCGCCACAAAUCAAACUUUCUUUUACAUCAGAAAUCCCACAAGGAAUAAGUUCCAACAAAGUAAUAAAUUCCAACAAAGCAACAAAUCAAAUAACUUACACAAUGCUAAACUGCCAAGCAAGUAGUGAAAGUGAACACUAAGAGAAUAAAGACAAGCUGGAACCCACAGACAAAGCUGUGGCAGUUUUUACUGUCUUCUACCUAAACAAUGUGGGUGUCCUACAGAGGCUGGUGCCAUUUGUGAUGUUGCUAAGCACAUACAUAGCCCAGGAGCUGGAAGAGCUGGAGGAGAUCCUGGGGAAA